GAUGAACGCUAGCUACAGGCUUAACACAUGCAAGUCGAGGGACCGGCGCACGUGUGUGUAACACGUAUCCAACCUGCCCUUUACUCGGGGAUAGCCUUUCGAAAGAAAGAUUAAUACCCGAUAUAAAGGAUGGGGCUGCGUUCCAUUAGGUUGUUGGUGAGGUAACGGCCCACCAAGCCUUCGAUGGCUAGGGGUUCUGAGAGGAAGGUCCCCCACAUUGGAACUGAGACACGGUCCAAACUCGUACGGGAGGCAGGAGUGAGGAAUAUUGGUAAAUGGGCGUUAGCCUGAACCAGCCAAGUAGCGUGAAGGAUGAAGGGUUAUGGGUCGUAAACUUCUUUUAUAUAAGAAUAGGUAUUAUAUGAAUAAGGAUCGGCUAACUCCGUGCCAGCAGCCGCGGUAAUAC
rnacentral:rRNA from 1 species